UACGAAGGGUGCAAGCGUUACUCGGAAUUACUGGGCGUAAAGCGUGCGUAGGUGGUGAGUUAAGUCUGUCGUGAAAGCCCCGGGCUCAACCUGGGAAUGGCGAUGGAUACUGGCUCGCUAGAGUGCGGUAGAGGAGAGUGGAAUUCCCGGUGUAGUAGUGAAAUGCGUAGAGAUCGGGAGGAACAUCAGUUGCGAAGGCGACUUCCUGGCCUGUUCUUGACGCUGAGGCGCGAAAGCUAGGGGAGCAAACGGG
rnacentral:rRNA from 1 species